rnacentral:ncRNA from 1 species
GACCCGAAAGAUGGUGAACUAUGCCUGGGCAGGGCGAAGCCAGAGGAAACUCUGGUGGAGGUCCGUAGCGGUCCUGACAUGCAAAUCAGUCAUCUCACGUGGGUAUAGUCUCAUCUAGGAGCUGA